rnacentral:rRNA from 1 species
AGCGUAGACGGUGAUGCAAGUCUGAAGUGAAAGCCCGGGGCUCAACCCCGGGACUGCUUUGGAAACUGUGUGACUAGAGUGCAGGAGAGGUAAGUGGAAUUCCUAGUGUAGCGGUGAAAUGCGUAGAUAUUAGGAGGAACACCAGUGGCGAAGGCGGCUUACUGGACUGUAACUGACGUUGAGGCUCGAAAGCGUGGGGAGCAAACA